rnacentral:rRNA from 1 species
AUGUGUCUUUUUUUUUGUAGUGGCUACAGAUGGAACAUAGGGGAUGGGAGUAGAACCAGGUUCUGGGAAGAUACUUGGUUUGGCACAUCCCCCCUAGCAGUCCAAUUUUGGCCUAUUUACUCUGUCCGCAAUGAGCUUAACAAAAGUGUCAAUGACGUUUGGGACGGUCAAUGCCUAAAACUCUCUUUUAGAAGGAACUUUAGUGAUAGUCUCAUGGAACAAUGGUUCCAGUUGGAGGAAAUUGCCAAAAGCAUUGCCUUUACUGCCGAGCCGAAUGCCCUGAUUUGGCAGCUGGACAAUAAGGGGAAGUGUUAG